rnacentral:rRNA from 1 species
GAACGCUGGCGGCGUGCUUAACACAUGCAAGUCGAACGAUGAAGCCCAGCUUGCUGGGUGGAUUAGUGGCGAACGGGUGAGUAACACGUGAGUAACCUGCCCUUGACUCUGGGAUAAGCCUGGGAAACUGGGUCUAAUACCGGAUAGGAACGUCCACCGCAUGGUGGGUGUUGGAAAGAUUUAUCGGUCAUGGAUGGACUCGCGGCCUAUCAGCUUGUUGGUGAGGUAAUGGCUCACCAAGGCGACGACGGGUAGCCGGCCUGAGAGGGUGACCGGCCACACUGGGACUGAGACACGGCCCAGACUCCUACGGGAGGCAGCAGUGGGGAAUAUUGCACAAUGGGCGAAAGCCUGAUGCAGCGACGCCGCGUGAGGGAUGACGGCCUUCGGGUUGUAAACCUCUUUCAGUAGGGAAGAAGCGAAAGUGACGGUACCUGCAGAAGAAGCACCGCA